rnacentral:rRNA from 1 species
UACGUAGGGUGCAAGCAUUAAUCGGAUUUAUUGGGCGUAAAGGGCGCGUAGGCGGGCCCGUAAGUCGUAUGUGAAAUCCCGGGGCUCAACCCCGGAACAGCAUAUGAAACUGCGGAUCUAGAGGGUAGGCGGAGAAAACGGAAUUCCACAAGUAGCGGUGAAAUGCGUAGAUAUGUGGAAGAACACCGGUGGCGAAGGCGGUUUUCUAGCUUAUACCUGACGCUAAAGCGCGAAAGCAAGGGGAUCAAACAGG